rnacentral:snoRNA from 1 species
UGGGCAUCUUCGAAGAUCCACGAACCUAUUGCUUCAGUGGUUUGUGGAUUCAAAGCGAUGCGCAGAGUAUACACUCAUUGGAUCAGCACCUGUCUCAUUGCAGAGGUCUUGUGCAUCAUGUCUGUUAACGUAGUUUAGCUUUCUGAAAGAUUCAAUGGGACAUCU